AAAUUGAAGAGUUUGAUCAUGGCUCAGAUUGAACGCUGGCGGCAGGCCUAACACAUGCAAGUCGAACGGUAACAGGAAUCAGCUUGCUGAUUCGCUGACGAGUGGCGGACGGGUGAGUAAUGUCUGGGAAACUGCCUGAUGGAGGGGGAUAACUACUGGAAACGGUAGCUAAUACCGCAUAAUGUCGCAAGACCAAAGAGGGGGACCUUAGGGCCUCUU
rnacentral:rRNA from 1 species